rnacentral:lncRNA from 1 species
UCAGCUCACUGCAACCUCUGCCUCCCAGGUUCAAGCAAUUCUCCUGCCUCAGCCUCCUGAGUAGCUAGGAUUACAGGCGCACACCACCACAUCCAGCUAAUUUUUGUAUUUUUAGUAGAGACGGGGUUUUACCAUGUUGGUCAGGCUGGUCUUGAACUCCUGACCUCGUGAUCCACCCACCUCAGCCUCCCAAAGUGUUGGGAUUACAGGCGUGAGCCACCGCGCCCAGCCUGAAUUACCUUCUUAAAAUGCCAUCUCUUUUUCUCAGAGUGAACCCAUCUCCUCUUUGCUAAACCAUAUCUGCUCCCCAUAAUUCCAUCAAGGAAUGUUCUCAUGGUACUCUACACACUGUAGUGGAGAAAGGACUUCCCAGAGAAUGCUUCUCCACUCACUCAUCUGUCCAAAACAGUCAGACACGCUUCUUGCUAGCUGCUCUGAGAAAAAUAGAAAGUGUGUGCUUCAGGGACAGUACUGACUAGGGGCUCCAAGUAGUGUGGGUGGGAUUUGAACUGGUGGGGAGGAAGGCUGAAUGCUAGGAGAAGGAGGGAAUUGGCGCAGGCCUAAGUAAACACAAGCAAAAGGAGAGGACAGGAGAACUGUAGGGACUAGGACCCUUGUGAAGUCAAAGUCAGCUCUUGCAUGGUGGGCCUUAAUGCAGGCCCAGAUGCCUGGAGAUGCAGCUUUUUCUGGAUACACUGAAGGCUGCAGAAUGUUCCUGGAAAGAGACUCAUAUAGACCAGGCCUGGCACAGUCUAUGGCCACUGAUUUUCAAAUCAAUGAUGGGCAUCUCCCUGCCCCACCCGGCUCCCAGAGAGUCUGAUCAGUAGGUGUGAGGCCCAGAAAUCUGCACCCUAAAGCCGCCAGGUGACUCCGAUGCAGGUGGUCUAUGGACCAUGCUUUGAGAAAUACUGGUAGAGGCAUUUAAUAUGUGUUAGAGACAUAGAUGUGUACAUGAGGAUGGCUGCAGGACAGACUGAGGUCUCCAAGCAGCUUGCUUAAGGAACAGAGUCCCAUCUCUGACCUGUACAAGCUGAGAGGGAUUGUUCACCUGCUCAGGGCAAUCAAGAGGAGCUUAAGAGUCUGUGUUGGGGAGGAGAAAGGGGGAAGAAUCCCAGGCCGCACAGCCUUGGAGAAGGAAACUUGCAAGAAAGAAUAUAGAUUUCUAUUUAGAGAAUUUUGGUUAAACUUUGCUGUGUAAUAUGCAAUACACCCUCGCAUCAGUACCCCCAUUAUGUUUCUUGCCAGUGUUUUGAGUAUUGGGCUUUUGUGAUGGGGAAUGUGAUGAAGUACCGAGUCUGGCCCUCGUUAGGCAGGAAAGUCUUCCAAAGGGGAUAUAGCCACAUUCAGGCCACACUGAUAGGCCUAUUAUACCCACUAAUAAGAUGCUGUGCUAGGCACAAGCUUACCUUUAUUGAGUUUGUCUGUAGUAGGAGGAUACAACAAAUAAUUACCAGAAAUGCCAUAAGAGGCUUGGGGCGGUGGCUCAUGCCUGCAAUCCCAGCACUUUGGGAGGCUGAGGCGGGUGGAUCACGUGAGGUCAGGAGUUUGAGACCAGCCUGGCCAGUAUGGUGAAACCCCGUCUCUACGGGAAAAAAAAAAAUAUCUGGGCGUGGUGGCAGGCACCUAUAAUCCCAGCUGUUCAAGAGGCUGAGGCAGGAG